UACGUAGGGUGCAAGCGUUAAUCGGAAUUACUGGGCGUAAAGCGUGCGCAGGCGGUCUUGCAAGACAGAUGUGAAAUCCCCGGGCUCAACCCUGGGAACUGCAUUUGUGACUGCAAGGCUGGAGUGCGGCAGAGGGGGAUGGAAUUCCGCGUGUAGCAGUGAAAUGCGUAGAUAUGCGGAGGAACACCGAUGGCGAAGGCAAUCCCCUGGGCCUGCACUGACGCUCAUGCACGAAAGCGUGGGGAGCAAACAGG
rnacentral:rRNA from 1 species